GUAGAAGAUGGCAGCGCUGAGCAAUGUCCG
rnacentral:piRNA from 1 species